rnacentral:rRNA from 1 species
AUUGAACGCUGGCGGCAGGCCUAACACAUGCAAGUCGAGCGGAUGAAGGGAGCUUGCUCCUGGAUUCAGCGGCGGACGGGUGAGUAAUGCCUAGGAAUCUGCCUGGUAGUGGGGGAUAACGUCCGGAAACGGGCGCUAAUACCGCAUACGUCCUGAUGGAGAAAGUGGGGGAUCUUCGGACCUCACGCUAUCAGAUGAGCCUAGGUCGGAUUAGCUAGUUGGUGGGGUAAAGGCCUACCAAGGCGACGAUCCGUAACUGGUCUGAGAGGAUGAUCAGUCACACUGGAACUGAGACACGGUCCAGACUCCUACGGGAGGCAGCAGUGGGGAAUCUUGGACAAUGGGCGAAAGCCUGAUCCAGCCAUGCCGCGUGUGUGAAGAAGGUCUUCGGAUUGUAAAGCACUUUAAGUUGGGAGGAAGGGCAGUAAGUUAAUACCUUGCUGUUUUGACGUUACCAACAGAAUAAGCACCGGCUAACUUCGUG